rnacentral:rRNA from 1 species
GUACAGAAUUUGCCAGAGAUGGAUCAGUGCUCGAAAGAGAACCGUAACACAGGUGCUGCAUGGCUGUCGUCAGCUCGUGUCGUGAGAUGUUGGGUUAAGUCCCGCAACGAGCGCAACCCUUGUCAUUAGUUGCUACAUUCAGUUGGGCACUCUAAUGAGACUGCCGGUGACAAACCGGAGGAAGGUGGGGAUGACGUCAAGUCCUCAUGGCCCUUAUAGGUGGGGCUACACACGUCAUACAAUGGCUGGUACAAAGGGGUGCCAACCCGCGAGGGGGAGCCAAUCCCUCAAAGCCAGUCGUAGUCCGGAUCGCAGUCUGCAACUCGACUUCGUGAAGUCUGAAUCGCUAGUAAU